rnacentral:rRNA from 1 species
UACGAAGGGUGCAAGCGUUACUCGGAAUUACUGGGCGUAAAGCGUGCGUAGGUGGUUUGUUAAGUCUGAUGUGAAAGCCCUGGGCUCAACCUGGGAAUGGCAUUGGAAACUGGCUUACUAGAGUGCGGUAGAGGGUAGCGGAAUUCCCGGUGUAGCAGUGAAAUGCGUAGAUAUCGGGAGGAACAUCCGUGGCGAAGGCGGCUACCUGGACCAGCACUGACACUGAGGCACGAAAGCGUGGGGAG